GAUAAGGUUCUCCUCUAUCUCUUGUUAGUGCGGUUACUACCCGAAGGUGAAUUUUAUAUCGCCAAAUCCAUUCUAAGGACGGAGGUGACACCGCCGCCGCGGGCCUCUGCAGCCACCACCUUCGCGAGGAGCAGGCCGCAUCGUGCGCCAGCCGUGCUCCGCGUGGCCGUUUCGCCGGGAGCCGUGGGCUCGAGUGCCAGCGUAGCUUGGCAGCCACGCUCGGAGGAGCGCCGCCGGGCGUGCUGCUGCCCCUGCGCCGUGUCCGCCUUAGGCGGUCUUGCCGCGGGAGAGAAGCGCCCGCCGUCUUCACUUUACGGCGGAUGAGCACUGGUCUCCGUGAUGGGCUCGAGAGGAGCAGUGCCGGGAACGGAAGCAGAGGCCGGUCGUGCGCUGCCGCACCACGAGGAUGUGGUCCGCAUCGGCCACCAUCGCUCGUCCUGGUGCCUUGCCGAGUGCCAAGGACGGGCUGAUGAGCACGUCGCGGUGGGACGACGAGGCCACCAGCGAUGUUGCCGAUUGCAAACGGAAUUUGAUGCGGUAAAGCAUCGUUUCUUUAUCUUUCUUCGACGGUGAGCGAAAAAUCGCAGGUCCGACGCCCCGUCUCUGAGUUCUUCUAUUCUGAUUCUUGUUCUCCAGAGUAGAAUUUUUGUGUAUUCUGAUUCUUGUUCUCCAGAGUAGAAUUUUUGUGGCUAUCAUGCUCUUGGUGGGCCUGGUGCAGCGGUAGAGCCUCACCGCCUGUGACCGAGAGGUCCCAGGUUCGAGUCGCGGUCUCCUCACAUUGCACUACGUGUGAGGGUAAGGCUUGCCACUAACACCUUCCCCAGACCCCGCACAGUGCGGGAGCUCUCAGCACUGGCUUUGUAACAAUCAAUUGGUUGAAAGAUAUUAAUGAACAAUAGAUGAUUUCACUCGUGGUUGAAGAAAUUGCAUGAUGACUUCGAGUGAGAUUCAAAACAAUCUUUCAAGGUGUUGUGAAGAAGAAGCCACCCAGAUAACUAUGGGGAGUUUGGUGAUAGAUAAUACUUUGUGCUUAUUUAUGAGGCAUGUGAUAUAUCCAAGAAAGAGAAAAUGAUGGUAACGUUGAGGUACAUGAGCAAUGAAGGGGAGAAUGUGGUGGAACAAUUUCCCUUCCUAUACCACAUACUUCAUCGGAGACACUAAAUUUACCUCUUGUUAUGCUCCUUGAUAAUUACACAUACCAAUUUCAAGGCUAUGAGGGCAAAUGAUAUGAUAAGGUUCAAAUAUGAGAGGUGAAUUUAAUGGCUUGGAAAAAAUAUUCUAGAUGAAAGACCUUAUGCCUUCUGCGUCAAAUGUUUGCCCUUCAUUUACAGUUUGUUUGAAAUUGUUGCUAGAUCUUCUUGCUCAUGUAUUCAUGAUUUUUGGGUAUGCAUCCUUGAGUGUGACCAAAUGUUUGCAUCUUGCAAGAAGACUGAAAUAUUGGUGGAAGGAACUAAAAGAUAUUUUUGGAAAGGCUAGAGAGAGAUGAAAGUUUUUACAAGAGGCCUGCGUUAACAAACUAGUCUUGCUAGACCAAGAGAUAGUACACGGGGUGAUGUUCCUCCUUAUAGAACUUUGUUUCUUUUGGAUCAAAUGUGGUCCGAUGUGAUAGAAGUUCUAAGCCCAAUGGACGCAAAUGGGUGUAAUUCGAACCAUGCCGCAGGUUUCAUAGAAAUGAUGUGGCGCUUUAAGUUUUCUCUUAUUUUGAAACUUCUGCUAACGGUGUUUUGUAUGACGAAUUCGCUUUCAUGGCAUUUGCAAAUAAAAGACAAAUAUUAUGCAUGCCAUGAAAUUAGUUGAUGAUGUCAGUUCGCCACCAUGACAGAUAAUGGUUCAGUUGGCCAUCAUGAUAGCUAGUGGUAGGGAGUCUUUUUCACGAGGUCCAACAAUGGAGUUCCAAAGGUAUUCGGAUGUCAAAUAUGAAUGACAGAAAUGUCGAUUUGGGGUCGCUCAAGGCUAAGGACUAUAUCUUCAUUUGUGAAGCAGAGACUUUCUAUGUGUUAUCCAUAAAUGUUUCAAUAUGAAUCAUUACUUUG